UACGAAGGGGGCUAGCGUUGUUCGGAUUUACUGGGCGUAAAGCGCACGUAGGCGGAUCGUUAAGUCGGGGGUGAAAUCCUGGAGCUCAACUCCAGAACUGCCUUCGAUACUGGCGAUCUUGAGUCCGGAAGAGGUGAGUGGAACUCCUAGUGUAGAGGUGGAAUUCGUAGAUAUUAGGAAGAACACCAGUGGCGAAGGCGCUCACUGGUCCGGUACUGACGCUGAGGUGCGAAAGCGUGGGGAGCAAACAGGG
rnacentral:rRNA from 1 species